UCGGACCCGUUUCUGAGCCGCAGUCGGACUCAGCUCCGUCCGAGGCGGAGCGGAUUCGGACCGAGGUCGGUGCUGUUUGCUUGAAGGGUAGGCACGAAUCGGCCCAUUCAACUCGACCCUCAUGUAACCAUAUAAAGUACGAAGUCUGAACCAUUGUUGAUCGGUGUCAGUCCAUAGACUAUAAUUUAUUAAACAUCAAAUUGGAACAUAGCAAAUUCAACAUGGCAGGUAGGUUCUAUCAACUAUUUCUAAUUGGAGUACUCAUCCAGGGAUUCGUCACAAGCAGGUUUCUUAACUCGAUUGGAGGCAGUUCCCCAGGCGUCCGCAACAAACCACCAAUUGAUUUGGAAAAUAAAGUGGCGAUCAAUUCCAGACAUCAUUGACUGAGUUUACAGCAGCUUCAGCCUUGAGCAUUUAAAAAAAAAAAAAUCAAAACAAGAUACAAAAACUACCACCAAAGUGCAGACUGCAGAGUAUUUUUUCUUUUUCAUUUUUCUCAACUGGCCAGGCCACAGUCGCGUGCCCAAGGAUCUUUUUUUAUGUAUUUUGUUUUCAAAAAAAAAUAUUAAAUAAUAGUUGUUUAAAAGAAUGUUUGUUUUGAAGAUUUUUUUAUUUUCAGAUGAAAUUAAAAUAUGGAUUUUAGCAGUACGGAUAUAAACCCAUGAAAGUGCUCCAAAUAAGUACUUAAAAAGUACAAGUUUCAGUGCUUUUUCUGUAGGUAAAAAAGUACUGGAAAAUGCACAUCAGAACCACUUCCAGAAGUGCUUCGCUGAUGCACUUUUGAAGUACAUUUGUCUGUACUAUUAAUGGAGGGGAAAUUUAUUUCAUCUUGCAUGCAAGAAAGAGAUAGCUGCUUCACGUAUUCUUAUAUACAGAAAGUAUAUAACUGAGUUUUUUCCCGAGCUCCUAUCUUUUUUCAGUGGAAAAGAAGUACUUCUUUUACGUACAUAUUUCACCGGUUUUUUCUGUAGUUCUGCGUUUGCUGGGUUUAUUUUAAUUUUAAAUAUACCUAUAAGAACUUAACACGAAUUUUUAAUUUUUCUUUUUAUAUAAAAAAAACUUCUAUUCGAUUAGGCUUUCACUAUAUUUUUAACAGCACUAUAUCAACCGAUCAGCUUCUUGAUUAAAUUUGAAAUGAUAUCGAUUCACGUGUAUGAGAUGUCAAAAUUUCAAUCUCAUAGAAGAAAAAGGAAAAGGCAAUUUUGACAGUUGGAGGAGAACCUCCAAAAAAUUUUUAUCGCAUGUUCAACAUAACUGAUCAAACAUCACCCGAUUCACAUCUCUCAAUAUAAACCUUAUAUACACUCUUGUAAGUAUUGGUGAGCAUUUCUAUAUCUCCCCUUUCUAUCUUCGAAUUCGAACUUAAUUAUAGGGCACGUUCAGAAAAAAGGAAAUUACCUUGUUGCAACCAUCAACCAAUAGAUGGCUUGUAAGGUUAAGGGUGUGAUUAUAUUGGCUUAUUGGAGGUUUAAGUUUGGUUUGUACGUAAAACAGCAAGACUAACGGGUGACAUGAACAUAGACAAAAAGUACGUAUUGAACAAUUAAAAGAACUAAUUUGAGCCACCUUCGUACCCGUUUAUGAGCCGGAGUCGGACUCAGCUCCGUCCGAUGCGGAACGGAUUCGGACCGAGGUCGGACUUGUUUGCUUGAAGGGUAGGCACGAAUCGGCCCAUUCAACUCGACCUUCAUGUAACCAUAUAACGUACGAAGUCUGAACAAUGGUUGGUCGGUGUCAGUCCAUAGACUAUAAUUUAUGUCACAUCAAUUUGGAAAUUCAACAUGGCAGGAUCUAAAUAACAUUUCCAGUUGGAGUUCUCGUCGCUGUAUUUCGUCACAAGCAGGUUUUUUAACUUGAUUGGAGGCAGUUCAGCAGGCGUCCGCAACACUUCAAACGAAAUUAUUAUUUAGGAUAAAGACAAUGGAAGAGAAUUCGUUGUUUUUAUUAAUAAAUAAUCUUACCUACAGUGGAAAAAAAAAAGAUAUUUUUCUUGUUUUUUUGAAAA